rnacentral:tRNA from 1 species
UUAAUUGAAACCAAAAAAGAGGUAUAUUACUGUUAAUAAUAAAAUUGAAAAUUAAUUCCAAUUAAA